AGUGAACGCUGGCGGCAGGCCUAAUACAUGCAAGUCGAACGGCAGCACAGCAGAGCUUGCUCUGUGGGUGGCGAGUGGCGGACGGGUGAGGAAUACAUGGGAAUCUGCCCAGUCGUGGGGGAUAACGUAUGGAAACGUACGCUAAUACCGCAUGCGCCCUACGGGGGAAAGUCGGGGACCGCAAGGCCUGGCGCGAUUGGAUGAGCCCAUGUUCGAUUAGCUAGUUGGCGGGGUAAAGGCCCACCAAGGCGACGAUCGAUAGCUGGUCUGAGAGGAUGAUCAGCCACACUGGAACUGAGACACGGUCCAGACUCCUACGGGAGGCAGCAGUAGGGAAUAUUGGACAAUGGGGGCAACCCUGAUCCAGCCAUGCCGCGUGAGUGAAGAAGGCCCUCGGGUUGUAAAGCUCUUUCGGCAGGAACGAAACGGCGGGCUCUAACAUAGCCUGUCAAUGACGGUACCUGAAGAAGAAGCACCGGCUAA
rnacentral:rRNA from 1 species